rnacentral:ncRNA from 1 species
ACCAUCCUUUCCUUGGAGUUGUGCUCCUGUCCAGUGAGUGCAAGAGCAGUCCUCCUAACCCUACAUAACACACCUGCCUCAGCUAGAGCAUCACUUCACCUUGGUGCAGUUUUUGGAAAA